GCCUGGAGUUGAUUUCAUUCAAGCUUUGAAACGCCACAAUUCCCAAUUAAUUACUCUGGGUUCCUUCAAUGGAGAAUAUCCCCAAUCUACACCUAACAUAGUCUGGAAGUAUUUUUUGGACAUGGAAGGUGAAAAAAAAUCAGUGUCUAACAAUAUAGUAACAACUUGGCCACGUUUCUAUGACAACACUACAGGACUGACACAAAAUACCUUCGUCUAUGGCAAUUCCAUAUUCACGCAUCCAAGUGCACUUAGCUUGGGAGUGGUGACCAUAAAGCGAUUUGGAAUCUU